rnacentral:rRNA from 1 species
AGAGUUUGAUCCUGGCUCAGAUUGAACGCUGGCGGCAGGCUUAACACAUGCAAGUCGAGCGGAAACGAUACCAGCUUGCUGGUAGGCGUCGAGCGGCGGACGGGUGAGUAAUACUUAGGAAUCUACCUAGUAGUGGGGGAUAGCUCGGGGAAACUCGAAUUAAUACCGCAUACGACCUACGGGAGAAAGGGGGCAGUUUACUGCUCUCGCUAUUAGAUGAGCCUAAGUCGGAUUAGCUAGAUGGUGGGGUAAAGGCCUACCAUGGCGACGAUCUGUAGCUGGUCUGAGAGGAUGAUCGGCCACACCGGGACUGAGACACGGCCCGGACUCCUACGGGAGGCAGCAGUGGGGAAUAUUGGACAAUGGGGGAAACCCUGAUCCAGCCAUGCCGCGUGUGUGAAGAAGGCCUUUUGGUUGUAAAGCACCUUAAGCAGUGAAGAAGACUCCUCGGUUAAUACCCGUGGACGAUGACAUUAGCUGCAGAAUAAGCACCGGCUAACUCUGUGCCAGCAGCCGCGGUAAUACAGAGGGUGCAAGCGUUAAUCGGAAUUACUGGGCGUAAAGCGAGCGUAGGUGGCUUGAUAAGUCAGAUGUGAAAUCCCCGGGCUUAACCUGGGAACUGCAUCUGAAACUGUUAGGCUAGAGUAGGUGAGAGGAAGGUAGAAUUCCAGGUGUAGCGGUGAAAUGCGUAGAGAUCUGGAGGAAUACCGAUGGCGAAGGCAGCCUUCUGGCAUCAUACUGACACUGAGGCUCGAAAGCGUGGGUAGCAAACAGGAUUAGAUACCCUGGUAGUCCACGCCGUAAACGAUGUCUACUAGUCGUUGGGUCCCUUGAGGACUUAGUGACGCAGCUAACGCAAUAAGUAGACCGCCUGGGGAGUACGGCGCAAGGUUAAACUCAAAUGAAUUGACGGGGGCCCGCGCAAGCGGUGGA